AUGGAGUUAAAAGUUUGGUCAAAGUUCGACCAAAUACUCACCAAGCAAAAACAGCAGCAGGACAACCAUCAGGCGACACAUGAUUGCAGGUGUGUUAAAAGACACACAGUAAAGACAAGACCUAGGAAAACUCAAUUAAGGCUGGCUACUCCUCUGCAGCUCCUGGGGCAGAUAAGGGAGAUAUUGUCGGAGGAGGAGGAGCGUGAAGGAAAGAGGGGAGACGGGCCACAGCUCUGCGCUGCACACAGCUACAAUGGGAGAGGCGUGUUAGAGCGAGAGCAGUACAGCCGAGGGACUCGCUGCAGUGCAGGUGGAUCACAACCAGAGGCCGAGGCUCACAGGCAGCAGCGUGACUCCGACUGGCUUUCCAGCAGGCUGCUUUCUCACUGCCGUCUUGUCUUGUUGCCACUGUGCACUUGUGACAUCUUCUCCGAGCUGACAGUAUUAAGGAAGAGGACGUAG
ensembl:lncRNA